AAAAGAGAUUACCUGUUGUAAUCUCAAGUAGUUUUCUUCCAUGGUAAAAUAGUCUGGAUUUGCAAUUGUUGAUGAUAUGUUUGUCGAUAAGUAAGAUUAUGCCUGCUCAACGGAUUUAUAAGACGUGUUUUUUAACGCAUUAUAAUGUGUUAAUAUCAAUAUGACAUAGAAGGAAGUAAAUUCCAAUGUUAUGUAGAGCACUUUGAAUUCUUUGCUGCUUACGCACGAAUAUUGCUGACUGAUCGUAUCAACCACAACAAGAGGCCGGUGAACCUAAUGACUUCAAACCAUAUCAAAAUCGAAUAGAAUAAAGGGGAAGCAGAGAGUAUGAGGAUAAGUGUACAGAUUUUUUAGGAGACAGAUAAGUUAACUAAUUGAUUACGUGAAGAAAGAAAAUUACGCAACAUUUGGUAGAUGGAUGUACUGAAUUAUCAGAUUAGAAAAAAAUCUUGCAUGAUGACUGGGUCAACCGCAAACAAAAGAGCUCUUACAGCGAGAAAAAAGUUUUACAGGUAAAGAAGAGCGUUGAAUUGAUUCUUUCGUGAUUUUUUUCGACUAGAAGCCAAACUCAGACAUUUUAAAUAUCCUAACAGGAUUAUAACGAUUUUUCAGAAAAAAUUGGUCCUAUCCUUCAUACUAAAAAGUUUUGAUAGUUUUCAUCAUAUGCAA